GAACACCUGGUUCCUGAACACCUGGAUCCUGAACACCUGGAUCCUGAACACCUGGGCUGUGUCUGAAAUCACUCCCUAUCCACUAUGUAGUGGACACGCCAUUUUGUAGUGCUGUCCGAAUUCUGAGGACUGAUGACGAUGUAGCCCAGCUGAUCCGGCUGAGGAGGGAGAAGGACCACCCCUUCAGCGGGAGGCGGUUUGCUGCUGCUGCAGGAUGGGAAACUUUGCUGAAAGACAUGCUGCUGUCUGAUCGAGUCAGUCCUGCUCGGGCGGAUAAAAAGUGGGAGAACUUGAAGAAAACGUACAAGGUUUGUAUUUGUUGUAUUUAACUGUAGCCCUGGAUAAUUAAAGUUUAGAUUAAAAAUGGCACUUCAUGUUCUCCUUUAGUAUCUUCCUAUGUUGUAUUCGGAAUCUGAAAUUGACUUUAACAUGUAUAA